rnacentral:rRNA from 1 species
GCAAGUCGAGCGAAUGGAUUGAGAGCUUGCUCUCAUGAAGUUAGCGGCGGACGGGUGAGUAACACGUGGGUAACCUGCCCAUAAGACUGGGAUAACUCCGGGAAACCGGGGCUAAUACCGGAUAAUAUUUUGAACUGCAUGGUUCGAAAUUGAAAGGCGGCUUCGGCUGUCACUUAUGGAUGGACCCGCGUCGCAUUAGCUAGUUGGUGAGGUAACGGCUCACCAAGGCAACGAUGCGUAGCCGACCUGAGAGGGUGAUCGGCCACACUGGGACUGAGACACGGCCCAGACUCCUACGGGAGGCAGCAGUAGGGAAUCUUCCGCAAUGGACGAAAGUCUGACGGAGCAACGCCGCGUGAGUGAUGAAGGCUUUCGGGUCGUAAAACUCUGUUGUUAGGGAAGAACAAGUGCUAGUUGAAUAAGCUGGCACCUUGACGGUACCUAACCAGAAAGCCACGGCUAACUACGUGCCAGCAGCCGCGGUAAUACGUAGGUGGCAAGCGUUAUCCGGAAUUAUUGGGCGUAAAGCGCGCGCAGGUGGUUUCUUAAGUCUGAUGUGAAAGCCCACGGCUCAACCGUGGAGGGUCAUUGGAAACUGGGAGACUUGAGUGCAGAAGAGGAAAGUGGAAUUCCAUGUGUAGCGGUGAAAUGCGUAGAGAUAUGGAGGAACACCAGUGGCGAAGGCGACUUUCUGGUCUGUAACUGACACUGAGGCGCGAAAGCG